rnacentral:rRNA from 1 species
GAUGAACGCUGGCGGCGUGCCUAAUACAUGCAAGUCGAGCGAACGGACGAGAAGCUUGCUUCUCUGAUGUUAGCGGCGGACGGGUGAGUAACACGUGGAUAACCUACCUAUAAGACUGGGAUAACUUCGGGAAACCGGAGCUAAUACCGGAUAAUAUUUUGAACCGCAUGGUUCAAAAGUGAAAGACGGUCUUGCUGUCACUUAUAGAUGGAUCCGCGCUGCAUUAGCUAGUUGGUAAGGUAACGGCUUACCAAGGCAACGAUGCAUAGCCGACCUGAGAGGGUGAUCGGCCACACUGGAACUGAGACACGGUCCAGACUCCUACGGGAGGCAGCAGUAGGGAAUCUUCCGCAAUGGGCGAAAGCCUGACGGAGCAACGCCGCGUGAGUGAUGAAGGUCUUCGGAUCGUAAAACUCUGUUAUUAGGGAAGAACAUAUGUGUAAGUAACUGUGCACAUCUUGACGGUACCUAAUCAGAAAGCCACGGCUAACUACGUGCCAGCAGCCGCGGUAAUACGUAAGUGGCAAGCGUUAUCCGGAAUUAUUGGGCGUUAAGCGCGCGUAGGCGGUUUUUUAAGUCUGAUGUGAAAGCCCACGGCUCAACCGUGGAGGGUCAUUGGAAACUGGAAAACUUGAGUGCAGAAGAGGAAAGUGGAAUUCCAUGUGUAGCGGUGAAAUGCGCAGAGAUAUGGAGGAACACCAGUGGCGAAGGCGACUUUCUGGUCUGUAACUGACGCUGAUGUGCGAAAGCGUGGGGAUCAAACAGGAUUAGAUACCCUGGUAGUCCACGCCGUAAACGAUGAGUGCUAAGUGUUAGGGGGUUUCCGCCCCUUAGUGCUGCAGCUAACGCAUUAAGCACUCCGCCUGGGGAGUACGACCGCAAGGUUGAAACUCAAAGGAAUUGACGGGGACCCGCACAAGCGGUGGAGCAUGUGGUUUAAUUCGAAGCAACGCGAAGAACCUUACCAAAUCUUGACAUCCUUUGACAACUCUAGAGAUAGAGCCUUCCCCUUCGGGGGACAAAGUGACAGGUGGUGCAUGGUUGUCGUCAGCUCGUGUCGUGAGAUGUUGGGUUAAGUCCCGCAACGAGCGCAACCCUUAAGCUUAGUUGCCAUCAUUAAGUUGGGCACUCUAAGUUGACUGCCGGUGACAAACCGGAGGAAGGUGGGGAUGACGUCAAAUCAUCAUGCCCCUUAUGAUUUGGGCUACACACGUGCUACAAUGGACAAUACAAAGGGCAGCGAAACCGCGAGGUCAAGCAAAUCCCAUAAAGUUGUUCUCAGUUCGGAUUGUAGUCUGCAACUCGACUACAUGAAGCUGGAAUCGCUAGUAAUCGUAGAUCAGCAUGCUACGGUGAAUACGUUCCCGGGUCU